GCUCCACUAGCGUAUAUUAAAGUUGUUGCAGUUAAAAAGCUCGUAGUUGAACUUCUGUAUGGGCUAGUGUUGGUUUGCGCCUCGCUAGUUCCAUGCAUCCGCUUGUAAGACCUGGUGGCAUUCAUUUGUCGCCAGGAGGAACAGGCUUUUUACUUUGAAAAAAUUAGAGUGUUUAAGGCAGGCAAUCGCCGCAUAUAUUA
rnacentral:rRNA from 1 species